UGUGGUGGCUAUAGCCAGAAGGAGACACCUGUUCCCAUGCCGAACACAGUAGUUAAGCUUCUGUACGCCAAGAGUAGUUGGGGGAUCGCCCCCUGCAAGUAGGACGUUGCCACGC
rnacentral:rRNA from 3 species